CAAAAAACAUUGAAAUUAGAGACUAACAUUAUACAAUUUGUUUCUUUUCAGGUACUCCCGCCAGAAGGACGGAAGCAUCGAGUCGCUGAGGAGCAUUAGUUGUCAUUACAGGUGAGUUUUUGUUGUAAGUUGGCUGUAAUCUGUUGCGGUCGCUGAGAGUGGGCCACUUGCAAUAAGUGUGUCCGGCCGGCGUAGCAGGUGCUUUGUUCUCGGUUGCAACAUCCAGCGCAGCCGUCAUUUGGUUAUCGUCAGUGGCAAGAUGAAUCCCGCGCAGCUGUCAUUGCGUAUUUAUAGAGCUGCUGUUCGUCUUGUUGUGGCAGAGAAGUCGUCAGUGCGGAUUGUAGCUCGGUCUGUCACCGAGAGAAGCCAGGUGCGCCGCGUCUUGUGGCCAUAGCGUCAGGAUUGGCAGCUUGGGGCCGCCGGUUCGAGAUUUGUUGCAGAGGGCCGCCGCAACGGAAUAGCCAUGGAAGUGAAUGCAAAAAUAGUAUUUGGUACGUUGAGUGGAAUUUAAUUUAAGGUACUUGAGGAGCAAG